CGAGCCAAAGGCAGUCGCCCAACCAACCAAGCCACCCAGGUGCCCAAGAAUAAUACAUUUUUUUAAAAAGUCAUCUGUAAUCCUACUUCCUGGCAACCAUUAUUGACAUUUAGAUAUAUUUCCAUCCCAUCGUGUUAUAUGCCGUAUAUCUGAAACAUACAUAUACAAGAUUCAGACUUUAUUUCAUAUAAAGCUUUGUUUUCUUUUUCUUUUUUUUUUCUCUAAAGGUCCUAUCUUGAGCAUUUUCCUUGGUCAUAAAUUGUUUUUUGAAAACAUUUUAAAUGGUUGCAGGAGAGUCUCACAGUAUAGUAUCUUUAACUAUCCUUUUCCAUUUAAUCACUUAAGAAUGAUUAUAUUUUUUCUUUCUUAAAUUUUACUUUUAUUUAACCGAGAUAUAAUUGAUAUAUAAGAAUGUGUUAGUUUUGGGUGUAUAGUGAUUAUACUUUUUUACUCUCAGGACUAGGUCUGUGGUGGCCAUCCAAGUUCAAGGAAUUUUUUGUUUCAGGUGGUUCGAGGACACUACAAGGGUCAGCAAAUUGGCAAGGUGGUCCAGGUGUACAGAAAGAAAUAUGUCAUCUACAUCGAGCGGGUGCAGCAUGAGAAGGCUAAUGGGACAACUGUCCAUGUGGGCAUUCACCCAAGCAAGGUGGUUAUCACCAGGCUAAAGCUGGACAAAGAUCGGAAAAAAAUUCUCGAAUACAAAGCCAAAUCUCGACAGGUUGGAAAAGAGAAAGGCAAAUAUAAGGAAGAACUUAUUGAGAAAAUGCAGAAGUGAAUGUAACCUGUUGUGCAAGCACAGUUUGCCUGUAGACCGUUAGCCUGGUGUGUGUUCCUUUGAAACUUUUCAAGACAUCUGCCAAACAUUUCAUCUCCUUCCUGUUUUGCUAUUGAUAAUGUAGCUUUGUAAAUCCACUUUUGCUGUUUUGAUUAAUAAUUUUAUGAAUAACAAUUGAAAAUGUUUCCUAAUUCCACGGGGAAUUUGCAUUGUUUUAUAGAUAAAAUUCAUCUUACUGUCAA